rnacentral:rRNA from 1 species
AUUGAACGCUGGCGGCAGGCCUAACACAUGCAAGUCGAGCGGAUGAAGGGAGCUUGCUCCUGGAUUCAGCGGAGGACGGGUGAGUAAUGCCUAGGAAUCUGCCUGGUAGUGGGGGCUAACGUCCGGAAACGGGCGCUGAUACCGCAUACGUCCUGAGGGAGAAAGUGGGGGGUCUUCGGACCUCACGCUAUCAGAUGAGCCUAGGUCGGCUUAGCUAGUUGGUGGGGUAAAGGCCUACCAAGGCGUCGAUCCGUAACUGGUCUGAGAGGAUGAUCAGUCACACUGGAACUGAGACACGGGCCGGGCUGCCGAGGGAGGCAGCAGGCGAGCAUAUUGGGACAUGGGGGCAAUCAUGAUCCAACCAUGGCGCGGGUGUGAAGAAGGUCGUCGGAUUGUAAAGCCAGGAUGAUUGGGAGGAAAGGGAGUAAGGUGUUACCGAGCGGUGGUGUCGUUACCAACAGAAUAAGCACUCGCUAAAGUCAUG